AAGGUCUUGGGUCGCAGUAAGGACGCUAAAGGUCAGCACUUAAUGGUUGAUCUUGCUUUGACAAAGGCCAUUAAGGCAGCCAAUUUUAAGGCAUAUUCUGGGGUCGAUCAGGGGACGUUUAAGGUGCUCUCAGAUCCCAAUUCUAGAUCGGGGAGACCGAUUGCUUUGGUGAUUGCUCCUGCAAAGGGGCAAGAACUGGCCAGGUUCUCUGGCAGGGAUGAGACUUCUGGGGAUACCUUUGUGAGAACUGGUCGGGUUCUCUGGCAGGGAUGAGGCUUCUGGGGGUACCUUUGGCCCUUCUGAUGCCCAGUUAAUGGAAGAGGGCAUGGACUUUUUCCCACUUUAGAUGUCUCUUUGGAUAUGGUCUGAGGCUGAUCCAAAUCAACCUCCACCACUCCUGAGCUGCUUCCGCCCUUUUGAGUUGGCUGCUCAUGGGAGCCGUUAUGACCUUGCUCUCAUUCAAGAGCCUUGGUACUAUGAAGGCCGAAUUUGGGGGUUUCCCAGUAAGGAAGAUGAGUUGUUUUAUUUUACAUCUUGUACUUCUGGUAAUGGUCCUCGGACCUGUGUUUUUGUUAGGAAUAACAUUUGUGCUUCACCUGUUUGGGAUUUCUGUUCUAGAGAUCUUAACACUGUGCAGAUAAAGCUCGAGGAGGAAGUGCUUGCAGGGAAUUUAUUAUUUCCUCUGCUUAUUUCUUAUAUUAAAGAUGAACUUCUA
rnacentral:lncRNA from 1 species